rnacentral:rRNA from 1 species
UACGGAGGGUGCAAGCGUUAUCCGGACUCACUGGGUUUAAAGGGUGCGUAGGAGGGAAGGUAAGUCAGUGGUGAAAUCUCCGAGCUUAACUUGGAAACUGCCGUUGAUACUAUCUGUCUUGAAUACCGUGGAGGUGAGCGGAAUAUGUCAUGUAGCGGUGAAAUGCUUAGAUAUGACAUAGAACACCAAUUGCGAAGGCAGCUCACUACACGAGCAUUGACUCUGAGGCACGAAAGCGUGGGGAUCAAACAGG